AGAACGAACGCUGGCGGCAGGCCUAACACAUGCAAGUCGAACGCCCCGCAAGGGGAGUGGCAGACGGGUGAGUAACGCGUGGGAACGUGCCCUUCGGUUCGGAAUAACUCAGGGAAACUUGAGCUAAUACCGGAUACGUCCGUAAGGAGAAAGAUUUAUUGCCGAAGGAUCGGCCCGCGUCGGAUUAGCUAGUUGGUGAGGUAACGGCCCACAAGGCGACGAUCCGUAGCUGGUCUGAGAGGAUGAUCAGCCACACUGGGACUGAGACACGGCCAGACUCCGUACGGGAGGCAGCAGUGGGGAAUAUUGGACAAUGGGACGAAAGCCUGAUCCAGCCAGUGCCGCGUGAGUGAAGAAGGCCGUUAGGGUUGUAAAGCUCUUCGAGCGGGAAGAUAAUGGACGGUACCGCGAGAAGAACGCCCGAUAAC
rnacentral:rRNA from 1 species